rnacentral:rRNA from 1 species
UGAGGAAUAUUGGUCAAUGGAGGAAACUCUGAACCAGCCAAGUCGCGUGAAGGAUGACGGUCCUAUGGAUUGUAAACUUCUUUAGUAGGCGAGUAAGGAUAGGUACGUGUACCUAUUAGAAAGUAGCCUAAGAAUAAGUAUCGGCUAACUCCGUGCCAGCAGCCGCGGUAAUACGGAAGGUUCGGGCGUUAUCCGGAUUUAUUGGGUUUAAAGGGAGCGUAGGCCGUUUGGUAAGCGUGUUGUGAAAUGUAGGAGCUCAACUUCUAGAUUGCAGCGCGAACUGUCAGACUUGAGUGCGCACAACGUAGGCGGAAUUCAUGGUGUAGCGGUGAAAUGCUUAGAUAUCAUGAAGAACUCCGAUUGCGAAGGCAGCUUACGGGAGCGCAACUGACGCUGAAGCUCGAAGGUGCGGGUAUCGAACAGG